UAUUUUAAUGUAGGUAAUCAUAAUCUGAAUGUCUCUUAUCUGGGCGGAGUCCACACACCCAUAACAAUGGAGGAAUACGAUAAUUUUGGUAAUCAUAAUCUGAAUGUCUCUUAUCUGGGCGGAGUCCACACACCCAUAACAAUGGAGGAAUACGAUAAUUUUGGUAAUCAUAAUCUGAAUGUCUCUUAUCUGGGUGGAGUCCACACACCCAUAACAAUGGAGGAAUACGAUAAUUUUGGUAAUCAUAAUCUGAAUGUCUCUUAUCUGGGCGGAGUCCACACACCCAUAACAAUGGAGGAAUACGAUAAUUUUGGUAAUCAUAAUCUGAAUGUCUCUUAUCUGGGCGGAGUCCACACACCCAUAACAAUGGAGGAAUACGAUAAUUUUGGUAAUCAUAAUCUGGAUGUCUCUUGUCUGGGCGGAGUCCACACACCCAUAACAAUGGAGAAAUACGAUAAUUUUGGUAAUCAUAAUCUGAAUGUCUCUUAUCUGGGCGGAGUCCACACACCCAUAACAAUGGAGGAAUACGAUAAUUUUGGUAAUCAUAAUCUGAAUGUCUCUUAUCUGGGCGGAGUCCACACACCCAUAACAAUGGAGGAAUACGAUAAUUUUGGUAAUCAUAAUCUGAAUGUCUCUUAUCUGGGCGGAGUCCACACACCCAUAACAAUGGAGGAAUACGAUAAUUUUGGUAAUCAUAAUCUGGAUGUCUCUUGUCUGGGCGGAGUCCACACACCCAUAACAAUGGAGGAAUACGAUAAUUUUGGUAAUCAUAAUCUGGAUGUCUCUUGUCUGGGCGGAGUCCACACACCCAUAACAAUGGAGGAAUACGAUAAUUUUGUUACGUUUUCUCAUUGUUAUGAUCAACUAAAGGUAAUCAUAAUCUGAAUGUCUCUUGUCUGGGCAGAGUCCACACACCCAUAACAAUGGAGGAAUACGAUAAUUUUGGUAAUCAUAAUCUGAAUGUCUCU
rnacentral:misc_RNA from 1 species